rnacentral:rRNA from 1 species
AUUGAACGCUGGCGGCAGGCCUAACACAUGCAAGUCGAGCGGCUGCACAGAGCUUGCUCCUUGAUUCGGCUGCCGACGGGUGAAUGAUGCCUAGGAAUCUGCGUGUCAGCGUUUGAUAACGUCCUGAAACGGGCGCUCAUACCGCAUACCCCCUGACGGCCUAAGUGGGGGAUCUUCGGACCUCCCGCUAUCACAUGAUCCUAGGUCGGAUUAGCUAGUUGGCGGGGUAAAGGCCUACCAAGGCGACGAUCCGUAACUGGUCUGAGAGGAUGAUCAGUCACACUGGAACUGAGACACGGUCCAGACUCCUACGGGAGGCAGCAGUGGGGAAUAUUGGACAAUGGGCGAAAGCCUGAUCCAGCCAUGCCGCGUGGGUGAAGAAGGUCUUCGGAUUGUAAAGCACUUUUAUUGGGGAGGAAGGGCAGUAGGUUAAUACCUUGCUGUUUUGACGUUACCAACAGAAUAAGCACCGGCUAACUUCGUG